CCAAUAAUCUGACCAUUCACAUUUUGGAUUAACCUUCAAAAGCCAACACCUUUUCUUAUAAAAGAAAGAACAAUUUAAUCCGUUCAUUUAAUCGUAGAAUUAGAGAGAAUUAACUUAAUAAAAUUAAGAGAAAAACACUUUGGACAAUCAAUUAAUUAUUAAGAAGAAAAUAAAUCGCAACUUUGUGAUUAAAAUCUUUGUUUCUAUUUCCCUCCUUUUCUGGUUUUCUCUUGUUUUCUAUUGGUCCAUUGAAAAGAAUUUUUAAUUUUCGUUUUUUUUGUCUGAUUAAUUUUCUCUUCUGUUUCAAAUCAUGUUGAUUGUUUACACUUUAAUUAAUUUCCAUUUAAUUAGUGUUAUUUUUUAUUCUCUUACAUGGUCAACUUUUCAUCUUUACCCUGUACCAGUGAAUUUGAAGUUAGAAAAUUUUAGUUUAACUAUCAACAACUUCUGACAAAUUCAAAUUGAUCAGUUUAUUGAUGUGACAUUUUUUUCCUUGUUCUUUAGAGAUGUUACUUUUCCAUUAAAAUCAUUACAUCUAUGGGAUAAAAGUGAUUCCAAACAAUGGUUACAAUCAACAUCCAAUAACAAACAACAAUAACAUUUGUUACCCAAUGGAAUGAUCAUCUUAAAUCAAGUUAAUGGAUAAAUGAUUUACUCACCUAAUCCAGCUGAUUGGAUAUAAUAUGAUAAACCAUCAACAACGCUAUUUGUAAUUAGUAUAUUGACAAAUCCUUUAACUUUCUCA